CAGCCCUAGCUGAAAAUUACCGAACAGGCGCGGCUUAGUAAGCCACAAGCCCAAAGGCCGCGAGGUGAUAAGAAU
rnacentral:ncRNA from 1 species